GCUUCAACCGUGUGUGAAACGCAAAUUCAGCAGUUAUGGGAGGUCAUGGAGGUCUUAACAUCCUUCCUCAAAAGCGGUGGAAUGUAUACAACUAUGAGAAUAGAGAAAAAGUCCGGCGAGAUGAGGAAGCCGCCGCUAGAGAAGAGCAAUUAAAGCGUGAGCAGUCAAGAAAGCGCGAUGCUGAGUUUCGCCUUGAGCAGCUACGGACUGCUCGUGGUUUGCUUCCGCUAAAUAAACCAGAAGUGGAGCCAGAGCC
rnacentral:misc_RNA from 1 species